rnacentral:other from 1 species
UAGUCCCUGUCCUAGCGGCGACGAGGAAAAACUUUUGAGCUAAUGUGUUACCCAUGGGAAUCUCUACUUCGGAUAUAGAAUGCAUCUUAAAACAAUGAGAACCAUAAUAUAUCUGAGAGGAUACCCCCUUGAAAUUCCAACUCAAAAGCUUUGCCUCAGGUCGUGAGGACAGGGGUUUU